CUGUUUCAAUUUGCUGCGGACAUAUAAAGUGAAUAUGAGCAUCAAUACCACCUGCUGUUACAAUCAUUCCUUCACCAGCUAUCACUUCUGUGGAAGCCCCAAUAAUCAUGUCAACUCCAUCCAUCAAUAACGGAUUUCCGCUUUUACCAAUACCUGCAAUUCGUCCAUCACGAAUCCCGAUAUCUGCUUUAUAAAUACCACUAUAGUCGACAAUAAUCGCAUUUGUAAUGACGGUAUCUAGCGCUCCAUCUGCUCGUGCUGCCAGCGGAUGCUGACCCAUUCCAUCACGG
rnacentral:sRNA from 1 species